rnacentral:rRNA from 1 species
CUGGCUCAGGAUGAACGCUAGCGACAGGCUAACACAUGCAAGUCGAGGGGCAGCAUAAAAGUAGCAAUACUUGGUGGCGACCGGCGCACGGGUGAGUAACGCGUAUGCAACCUACCUAUCAGAGGGGAAUAACCCGGCGAAAGUCGGACUAAUACCGCAUAAAACAGGGGCACCGCAUGGUGAUAUUUGUUAAAGAAAUUCGCUGAUAGAUGGGCAUGCGUUCCAUUAGGUAGUUGGUGAGGUAACGGCUCACCAAGCCGACGAUGGAUAGGGGAACUGAGAGGUUGGUCCCCCACACUGGUACUGAGACACGGACCAGACUCCUACGGGAGGCAGCAGUGAGGAAUAUUGGUCAAUGGGCGGGAGCCUGAACCAGCCAAGUCGCGUGAAGGAAGAAGGAUCUAUGGUUCGUAAACUUCUUUUGCAGGGGAAUAAAGUGCAGGACGUGUCCUGUUUUGUAUGUACCCUGAGAAUAAGGAUCGGCUAACUCCGUGCCAGCCGCCGC